GACGAACGCUGGCGGCGUGCCUAAUACAUGCAAGUAGAACGCUGACGGAGGAGCUUGCUUCUCUGGAUGAGUUGCGAACGGGUGAGUAACGCGUAGGUAACCUGCCUGGUAGCGGGGGAUAACUAUUGGAAACGAUAGCUAAUACCGCAUAAGAGUAGAUGUCGCAUGACAUUUGCUUGAAAGGUGCAAUUGCAUCACUACCAGAUGGACCUGCGUUGUAUUAGCUAGUUGGUGAGGUAACGGCUCACCAAGGCAACGAUACAUAGCAGACCUGAGAGGGGAAGCGGCCAAACUGGGACGGAGAGACGGCCCACACUCCUACGAGAGGCAGCAGUAGGGAAUCUGCGGGAAUGGCCGGAAGUCGGACCGAGGAACGCCGCGUGAGAGAAGAAGGUUGUCGGGUCGUAAAGCUCUGUUGUAAGAGAAGAACGAGAGGGAGAGUUGAAAGUGCAGACUGUGACGGUAUCGUACCAGAAAGGGCCGGCUAACUACGUG
rnacentral:rRNA from 1 species